AUACGUAGGUGGCAAGCGUUGUCCGGAAUUAUUGGGCGUAAAGCGCGCGCAGGCGGUCCUUUAAGUCUGAUGUGAAAGCCCACGGCUCAACCGUGGAGGGUCAUUGGAAACUGGGGGACUUGAGUGCAGAAGAGGAAAGUGGAAUUCCAAGUGUAGCGGUGAAAUGCGUAGAGAUUUGGAGGAACACCAGUGGCGAAGGCGACUUUCUGGUCUGUAACUGACGCUGAGGCGCGAAAGCGUGGGGAGCAAACAGGAUUAGAUUCCCUGGUAUGCCACGCCGUAAACGAUGAGUGCUAAGUGUUAGGGGGUUUCCGCCCCUUAGUGCUGCAGCUAACGCAUUAAGCACUCCGCCUGGGGAGUACGGUCGCAAGACUGAAACUCAAAGGAAUUGACGGGG
rnacentral:rRNA from 1 species